rnacentral:tRNA from 1 species
CUUGAUUUGGCAGAAUUAAUGCGUCUGAUUUAGGGUCAGACUAUAACGAAUAGUUAAUCGGUG